UACAGAGGUCUCAAGCGUUGUUCGGAUUCAUUGGGCGUAAAGGGUGUGUAGGUGGCGCCGUAAGUCGGGUGUGAAAUUUCGGAGCUUAACUCCGAAACUGCAUUCGAUACUGCGGUGCUUGAGGACUGGAGAGGAGACUGGAAUUCAUGGUGUAGCAGUGAAAUGCGUAGAGAUCAGGAAGAACAUCGGUGGCGAAGGCGCUCUGCUGGACCAUAACUGACACUCAGGGACGAAAGCUAGGGGAGCGAAUGGG
rnacentral:rRNA from 1 species